AACGGCCGCGGUAUCCCAACCGUGCAAAGGUNGCGCAAUCACUUGUCCUCUAAAUAAGGACUAGUAUGAACGGUUUAAUGAGGACGAAACUGUCUCCUGCAGAAAAUCCGUAAAACUGAACUCCCAGUUCAAAUGCUGGGAUAACAAUAUAAGACGAGAAGACCCCGCGGAGCUUUCAAACAAACUACAGCUUCUGACCCUGUAGAAAAGUUUUUAGUUGGGGCAACUCUGGAGACAAAAAAAACCCCCAGACACGGGAACACGCAUCCCAAAAAUGGCUAACAAGCCUACACCCGACCCGGUCCCACCGACAAACGAACCAAGUUACCCCAGGGAUAACAGCGCCAUCUUCUUUUAGAGUCCAUAUCGACAAGAAGGUUUACGACCUCGAUGUUGGAUCAGGACACCCAAAUGGUGCAGCCGCUAUUAAAGGUUCGUUUGUUCAACGAUUAACAGUCCUACGUGAUCUGAGU
rnacentral:rRNA from 1 species